rnacentral:rRNA from 1 species
UACGUAGGGGGCAAGCGUUGUCCGGAUUUACUGGGCGUAAAGAGCGUGUAGGCGGCCAAGCAGGUCCGUUGUGAAAACUGGAGGCUUAACCUCCAGACGUCGACGGAAACCGCGUGGCUAGAGUCCGGAAGAGGAGAGUGGAAAUUCCUGGUGUAGCGGUGAAAUGCGCAGAUAUCAGGAAGAACACCAAUGGCGAAGGCGGCUCUCUGGGACGGUACUGACGCUGAGACGCGAAAGCGUGGGGAGCGAACAGG